GGGUUUGAUCCUGGCCCAGGGUGAACGCUGGCGGCGUGCCUUAGGCACGCAAGUGGAACGCCUCUGCUUCGGCAGAGGAGUCGCGAACGGCUGAGUAACACGUAGGAAUCUAUCCUUUGGUGGGGAAUACCCCCGCGAAAGUGGGGUUAAUACCGCAUAAGUCCCAAGAGCAAUCUUGGGGGAAAGGACAUAACUGUCCACCGAUGGAGGAGCCUGCGGCCCAUCAGCUUGUUGGUAGGGUAAUGGCCUACCAAGGCAACGACGGGUAGGGGGCGUGAGAGCGCGAUCCCCCAGAAUGGCACUGAGACACGGGCCAUACACCUACGGGUGGCAGCAACUAGGAAUAGUGCGCAAUGGACGAAAGUCUGACGCCGCGACGCCGCGUGAGGGAUGACGGCCUUCGGGUUGUAAACCUCUUUUGCCAUACAAGAGAUUUUAUGGAGAAUAAGCACCCGCUAACUACGUGCCAGCAGCUGCGGUAAUACGUAGGGUGCAAGCGUUGCCCGGAUUUAUUGGGCGUAAAGCGUGCGCAGGUUUUUUGGUAAGUUAUGUUUAAAAGCCCAGGGCUCAACCUUGGAAAGGGGCAUAAUACUGCCAGAAUUGGAGGAUUUAGGGGCUACUGGAACUUAUCAUGUAGGGGUGAAAUCCGUUGAUAUGAUAAGGAACACCGAGGGCGAAGGCAAGUAGCUGGAAAUCUCUCGACACUGAGGUACGAAAGCUAGGGGAGCGAAAGGGAUUAGAGACCCCUGUAGUCCUAGCCGUAAACGAUGCUCGCUAGCCGUGUGAUUUAUUUUAUGCGGCGCAAGCUAACGCGUUAAGCGAGCCGCCUGGGGAGUACGAACGCAAGUUUAAAACUCAAAGGAAUUGACGGGGACCCGCACAACCAGUGGAGCAUGUGGUUUAAUUCGAGACGAACCGAAGAACCUUACCUGGAUUUGACAUGCUACUUAUUAGUCUUGCAGAGAUGCGAGAUGAUCCUGCAUUUGUAGGAAGGUAGCACAGGUGUUGCAUGGCUGUCGUCAGCUCGUGCCGUGAGGUGUUCCCUUCAGUGGGGUAACGAGCGCAACCCCUGCCGUAUGUUAAAUAUUCAUACGGGACAACCGAGUAUUUCUCGGAGGAAGUGGGGACGACGUCAAGUCAGCAUGGCCCUUAUAUCCAGGGCGACACACAUGCUACAAUGGAGCCGACAAUGGGUUGCCAAGCAGUAAUGCGGAGCUAAUCCCAUCAAACGGCUUCUCAGUUGGGAUUGAGGGCUGCAACUCGCCCUCAUGAACGUGGAAUUGGUAGUAAUCGCGAAUCAGCUAUGUCGCGGUGAAUACGUUCUCGGGUCUUGUACACACCGCCCGUCAAGUCAGCA
rnacentral:rRNA from 1 species